rnacentral:rRNA from 1 species
AAGGAUCAUUAUAGAGAGGGGGUUUACGGGCUCCCGGGGGUUUCGUCCCCCCAACUCCUUACCCCAUGUCCAUCUACCUUGGUUGCUUUGGCGGGCCUUGAGGCUUGCCUCACGUCGGCUCGGAGGUAUCGCUACCCCGGCCAGCCCGUGCCCGUCAGAGGCACACUUAAUUCUGUUUCAUCAGUGACGUCCGAGUACAAGCAGAAUACUUAAAAAACUUUCAACAACGGAUCUCUUGGUUCCAGCAUCGAUGAAGAACGCAGCGAAAUGCGAUAAGUAAUGUGAAUUGCAGAAUUCAGUGAAUCAUCGAAUCUUUGAACGCACAUUGCGCCCUUCGGUAUUCCGGGGGGCAUGCCUGUUCGAGCGUCAUUGCACUCCUCAAGCGCAGCUUGGUAUUGGGCCUUCGCCUCCGAGGCGGACCUGAAAAGUAGUGGCGGUCCGGUAGGACUUCAAGCGUAGUAAAUUUUCAUCCCGCUUUGGAAGCUUCUCGUCGCGACCCGCUAGACAACCUUAAGCCUUGCAACGAUUGACCUCGGAUCAGGUAGGAAUACCCGCUGAACUUAA